CAAUAGCGUAUAUUAAAGUUGUUGCAGUUAAAAAGCUCGUAGUUGAAUUUUUGCUUGCCGCCGAUGUCGGAACUUCCGUACGUUCGGCGGCGUGCAUCCUUGGGUGGAACCUGUGUGGCAUUAGGUUGUCGUGCAGGGGAUGCUCAUCGUUUACUGUGAAAAAAUUAGAGUGUUCAAAGCAGGCUUACGCCGUUGAAUAUAUUAGCAUGGAAUAAUAAGAUAGGACCUUGGUACUAUUUUGUUGGUUUGCGCACCGAGGUAAUGAUUAACAGGGACAGUUGGGGGUAUUCGUAUUCCAUUGUCAGAGGUGAAAUUCUUGGAUUUCUGGAAGACGAACUACUGCGAAAGCAUUUACUAAGGAUGUUUNCAUUA
rnacentral:rRNA from 1 species